rnacentral:rRNA from 1 species
CACUCCUACGGGAGGCAGCAGUGGGGAAUAUUGGACAAUGGGCGCAAGCCUGAUCCAGCCAUGCCGCGUGAGUGAUGAAGGCCCUAGGGUUGUAAAGCUCUUUCACCGGUGAAGAUAAUGACGGUAACCGGAGAAGAAGCCCCGGCUAACUUCGUGCCAGCAGCCGCGGUAAUACGAAGGGGGCUAGCGUUGUUCGGAUUUACUGGGCGUAAAGCGCACGUAGGCGGACUAUUAAGUCAGGGGUGAAAUCCCGGGGCUCAACCCCGGAACUGCCUUUGAUACUGGUAGUCUUGAGUUCGAGAGAGGUGAGUGGAAUUCCGAGUGUAGAGGUGAAAUUCGUAGAUAUUCGGAGGAACACCAGUGGCGAAGGCGGCUCACUGGCUCGAUACUGACGCUGAGGUGCGAAAGCGUGGGGAGCAAACAGGAUUAGAUACCCCUGUAGUCCCAU